rnacentral:rRNA from 1 species
GUAGUCCACGCCGUAAACGAUGAGCACUAGUUGUUGGGUACGAAUGUAUUCAGUGACGCAGUUAACGCAAUAAGUGCUCCGCCUGGGGAGUACGGUGGCAACACUAAAACUCAAAGGAAUUGACGGGGACCCGCACAAGCAGCGGAGCAUGUGGUUUAAUUCGAAGCAACGCGAAAAACCUUACCAGGGCUUGACAUCCCUCUGACCGGCACUUAACCGUGCCUUUCUUCGGACAGAGGUGACAGGUGGUGCAUGGUUGUCGUCAGCUCGUGUCGUGAGAUGUUGGGUUAAGUCCCGCAACGAGCGCAACCCUUGUCGUCAGUUACUAACAUUCAGUUGAGGACUCUGACGAGACUGCCGAGGUCAACUCGGA